CCUGCACGAGCCUGGCGGGAAGGUAGCAGGAGCGCCUGCUGCCUCACUCACUCCAGCCAUCUUGGCUGCUGGUGAUUCGGGCUCACGCUCUACAAUUCGCUGCCGGUAAGAAGGCUUCCAGUGGGCUGAGCCGUUGAAUCGGCUCAACAGCUUGCUGGGUAUCCGGGUCCCCUGCCGUCCCCUCUGCCUCGUCAUUGUCGUCGUUCUCAAUGCCAUUGCUGUCCAGCUCUGGCCGCAGCGUGAACAGCCCGGGAGGCUGAGACUCUUCAGGGCCUCAGAUGUGCAGGUGGUUCCCCAGCAUGGCUGCAGCUGACCGCUGUUCUCUCCAGCCCCUUCGCUCCCCCAUUUUUCCUUUAAUACUUAGAAAUUUGCGCUCACUCAGCUCGCAGGGAUACAGCAGAUGCCUUCAGGAUCUUUCAGCGCUGAUAACCCAAAGCCCUGGUCUGGCAACUGGAAUCUGGAGGACUCCAGGGGGGUGGAACAAGUCACCUGAAGUACUCACUUAUGCCUGACUGUGUCAAGGUCCCAACCUGCUCUGUUGGCUACACUAAGGGUGGCUUUGGGGGGAAAGAAGGACACCAAAUCCAGAGCAAACCCUUUCAUCCCUCAAAGCAGCCUGCCCCAAAAUAUGAGUCAGACCUCACUUUGCAUGCUGAAAUAUACCACCAUGGAGAGGGGAGAGAUUGAGAAUCUAUCAAUAGGCUUGACUUGACCCUUCUUCAGUAUGAUCUCAGGCAAUUCUCAGCUCCACAGUUAACAUCCUCAAAUCCACAACCUCUCAAAGAUCCUCAGCAAGCUGGCAAAUAAUACCUACUUGAAUGUGUGAACUCUACUAAAAUUGACUCCUAGACAAGCCAUGGGGAAAUCUUUGUUUCCCAUAUGAGUCUGUAUUUUCAAUCCCAAAGAAAUAGAACCUGAGGGAAAGACUUUAAAGAGAGAAAACAAGGAAGACAGAAUUUAAAUGUUUCCAACAAUGGAAAAAAUAUGUGGGAAGUCCCCCAAACCCAAGAAUACCAUGUCAAACAUGCACCAUAUGUAGAGUUCCCCAAACCAGGAAAUAAAUAGAAAAAAAAAGAAAAAAGAAAAAAGCA
rnacentral:lncRNA from 1 species